UCCAGCACGCAACGGUCGCCAUGGGCCUCGACGGCGCGCCGGUCUGCUCCAUCCCCAGUCAAAACCUCGAGUGGCCGUGCGUGAGGAGAGACUGCGGCCAGAACGACUGGAUUCACGCCGUCGUCAACAGCACCUGACGCCAUCAAGUUCCGCUGCUCCNNNNNNNNNNNNNNNNNNNNNNNNNNNNNNNNNNNNNNNNNNNNNNNNNNNNNNNNNNNNNNNNNNNNNNNNNNNNNNNNNNNNNNNNNNNNNNNNNNNNUUAUUCAAGGAGGUUGCCGCGCUAGAAGCAAUCGCUCGUCACGAAGCUUCGUAUCUUGCUGAGGAUCUUCUAAUUCAAGAUUUUAUUGUUGCCUCCUACCCGAAACAUGUGAUAAACGACAAUGAGAAGAGAACGAACAGUCGGUAUGGACAUAUGAUAGUCAAGCUCAAUUCAAUUGAAGGAUUCAUGGUCGAUUCAAUAUGAUUGGGUGGCAAAAUUAAUUUUCAGUGUUGCAAAUUAUAAAGUUAUACUACCUGAGCGCCACCAGGUCAAAGUUAUUUUUUGUUUGCCAAAGUAUGAAAUAUAUAAUGCAUGAAACUUCCCUAUCAAAAUCUUAGCAACAGUAAGAAACAGUUAAUAUAAUCUACUACCCCUAAAAAAGCAUAAAAAGACAGAUCCAACUAAGCAUAUUAGCCAUUGAUUACGUAAUCUAAUGGUNNNNNNNNNNNNNNNNNNNNNNNNNNNNNNNNNNNNNNNNNNNNNNNNNNNNNNNNNNNNNNNNNNNNNNNNNNNNNNNNNNNNNNNNNNNNNNNNNNNNNNNNNNNNNNNNNNNNNNNNNNNNNNNNNNNNNNNNNNNNNNNNNNNNNNNNNNNNNNNNNNNNNNNNNNNNNNNNNNNNNNNNNNNNNNNNNNNNNNNNNNNNNNNNNNNNNNNNNNNNNNNNNNNNNNNNNNNNNNNNNNNNNNNNNNNNNNNNNNNNNNNNNNNNNNNNNNNNNNNNNNNNNNNNNNNNNNNNNNNNNNNNNNNNNNNNNNNNNNNNNNNNNNNNNNNNNNNNNNNNNNNNNNNNNNNNNNNNNNNNNNNNNNNNUGGGGAACAGCGGCGCAUCGGCGGACAUCAUUGCAUGUGCAGCAUGCAGCGGCAGCGGCUGCAGAGCCACGGAAGAGCAGCGGUGCUAAGCAGGUGCAGGUUAGAAGGAGGCAGCACGGGNNNNNNNNNNNNNNNNNNNNNNNNNNNNNNNNNNNNNNNNNNNNNNNNNNNNNNNNNNNNNNNNNNNNNNNNNNNNNNNNNNNNNNNNNNNNNNNNNNNNUAUAAAAUAUGUGGGGUUCGCAACACAAAAUAAUGUCACACAUUAAUGCGAGAUAAUCACCUAUAUACGGGAAAAUACACUAGAGGGAAUUCCCUACACGUAAAAAUACAAAUGGCCGCUCUAAAAUGCAUGCAAAAAUGAUUCCUAAAACAUGAACAUUUCUAUUAUGGCAUUCGAGCAAUUCAAACACGCGUGGAAAAUAAAUGCGGGCACUUUCCUAUUGAGACAACACGCUUAUCUAGGCAAACAACAUGUUGAACGACGUCAAACAAAUGUGCAAGUUGUAAAAUCGGAUUCUACGCGAAAAAUUACACGAGAAACAUAUGCUACUCGUCGCAAUCCGAUACACGAGUUGAAAACUACGGACGUUUUAAUAUCGUCAUUUUUCUGGAAUUUAUUAAUUCCGAAAAAUUAACCUAAUUAUUCUAAUGGGCCGAACAGGUGGGCGCAGCUUAGCUAACAUGUCGCAUAGGUGACAGAUUAGAGGGCCAGGGAUCUCACCUUGGGCCGAGGGCGGCCUGGAGAGGAAUCGGUUGGAGGAGGAGGCCGAGUGGGCCGCUGCGGGAGCUGGGCCGGGGAAGUCGACUGGGCCGGGGGGCGCCCGAGCUGGCCUGGGGCGAGAGGCCCAGGCGCGCUGGAAGGGGCGGUCGCCCUCGUGGGCCGCGGGGAGCGAGGUGGGCCUCGGGCGAGGCCCAACUGGGGCACUCGUCGUGAUCCUCGAGCGCUGCUGGCUCCCGAGAGCCACAGGGGACGCUGGCGGCAGCGAGAUCCAACGGGGCCGGCGACCUCCAGCGAGGCGAGGGAGGCGAGGGGCGGCGCGGAUCCGGCCUCGAGCUGCCCGGAUCUGGCCGAGGAGCUCCGUCCCCGGCGACGAGGAACUAGGGCCGGCCGACUUCGGAGCUCGGGCUGCAGCAGGAGGUUCGCGGGGUCCUGAUGGCGGCUUCGGGGGCGCGGCGAGGGCAAGGCUCCGGUGGCGGCGCCUCGGGCAGGCGGCGACCGGCGGUGCUGGCGGCGGGGCACGACGGCUCGGGACGGCGGCGCUCGGCUGCGGCAGGAGGUGCGGGGAGCACGGGAGGCAGUGGUUGGCAGCGGCGCGCCGGAUGGGCCUGCCCGGGCCCGAUCUGGGCUCGGGGGGCCCGCGACGGCUGGUGGGUGGGAGGAGAGAGAGAGUACGGCUAGGGUUUCGGGGCGCGGAUCCCGAGGGAGAGAGAGAGGGUUUGUCUGAAUAAUGCAUGGGGGUCUAUAAAUAGACAAACGGGGGGGGGGGGGGCUCGGUUAACCGGAAUCGUGCUCCGGAUCCAACCGCGGGGUCGGAUUCGGACGAUUCCGAGCGCGGGUAUGGGUACGCGGCCGUGUAGAGGGGAUAUCCGGAGACGAGAGGGAGAACGGGCGGCCCGGCACGAAUUUUAAAACACCGACAGACGUCCGACGAAUAACCGAAGACGGUGCCGCUACGGGCGACCGUUCGGGUACCAGACGGUCUCCGAUCGCGACGAAAUUCGACAGGCAGCCUCGCUAUAACUAAUCUCGAUCGCACGUCAAAUCUCAACCCGAUGAGAGAAAGUUUUAAACGCACUUUAAAAACAGGGUUUCGACGGUGCCGCGGGCGCGUGCGUGUGCGGUCGGACUCAGAACGGACAACGACGAGGACCGGCAACUACUAGCGGAUGCAAGUUUUGAAAAACGGGCGGCAACGGAGACGCCGAUGCAAUGCAGAUGAUGCGCAUGAUGCGAUGAUGAUGCGGCGACUGAAAAUACCCACACGACNNNNNNNNNNNNNNNNNNNNNNNNNNNNNNNNNNNNNNNNNNNNNNNNNNNNNNNNNNNNNNNNNNNNNNNNNNNNNNNNNNNNNNNNNNNNNNNNNNNNGCAAGAGAGAUGGAGAGGUAGAUGAGUUCUCCGGCAGCGUGACGGUGCUCCGGAGGUUGGUGGUGAUCUUAUGUCGGCAGGGCUCCGCCCGAGCUCCGCAGAAACGCGAUCGAGAGGUAAAACCGUGGAGAUAUGUGGUCGGGUUGCCGUGGCAAAAGUUGUCUCAAAUCAACCCUAAUACCUCAGUAUAUAUAGGAGGGAGGGGGAGGGAAGAGGCAGCCUCAAACCCUCAAGGUUUGGCCGAAAUUGGAGGUGGAGGAGUCCUACUCCAAUCCUACUUGGAGUAGGAUUCCACCUUCCCACUUGGAAACUCUUUCCACCUUGUGUUUUUUCCUUCUCAAACCUUAUGGGCCUUAGUGGGAACAUAUUCCAGCCCACUAGGGGCUGGUUUACCUCUUCCCAUAGCCCAUGAGACCCCUUGGGGCGUGACACCCCUCCCGAUGGUCCUCGGCACCCCUCCCGGCACUCCCGGUACACUACCAAUGAGCGCGAAACUUUUCCGGUGACCAAAACAGGACUUCCUAUAUAUCAAUCUUUACCUCCGGACCAUUCCGGAGCUCCUCGUGACGUCCUGUAUCUCAUCCGGGACUCCGAACAACAUUCGGUAACCAACCAUAUAACUCAAAUACGCAUAAAACAACGUCGAACCUUAAGUGUGCAGACCCUGCGGGUUCGAGAACUAUGUAGACAUGACCCGAGUGACUCCUCGGUCAAUAUCCAAUAGCAGGACCUGGAUGCCCAUAUUGGAUCCUACAUAUUCUCCGAAGAUCUUAUCGGUUGAACCUCAGUGUCAAGGAUUCAUAUAAUCCCGUAUGUCAUUCCCUUUGUCCUUCGGUAUGUUACUUGCCCGAGAUUCGAUCGUCAGUAUCCGCAUACCUAUUUCAAUCUCGUUUACCGGCAAGUCUCUUUACUCGUUCUGUAAUACAAGAUCCCGCAACUUACACUAAGUCACAUUGCUUGCAAGGCUUGUGUGUGAUGUUGUAUUACCGAGUGGGCCCCGAGAUACCUCUCCGUCACACGGAGUGACAAAUCCCAGUCUCGAUCCAUACUAACUCAACGAACACCUUAGGAGAUACCUGUAGAGUAUCUUUAUAGUCACCAAGUUACGUUGCGACGUUUGAUACACACAAAGUAUUCCUCCGGUGUUAGUGAGUUAUAUGAUCUCAUGGUCAUAGGAACAAAUACUUGACAUGCAGAAAACAGUAGCAAUAAAAUGACACGAUCAACAUGCUACGUCUAUUAGUUUGGGUCUAGUCCAUCACAUGAUUCUCCUAAUGAUGUGAUCCCAUUAUCAAGUGACAACACUUGCCUAUGGCCAGGAAACCUUGACCAUCUUUGAUCAAUGAGCUAGUCAACUAGAGGCUUACUAGGGACAGUGUUUUGUCUAUGUAUCCACACAAGUAUUGUGUUUCCAAAUCAAUACAAUUAUAGCAUGGAUCAUAAACGAUUAUCAUGAACUAAGAAAUAUAAUAAUAACUAAUUUAUUAUUGCCUCUAGGGCAUAUUUCCAACAGUAUCCCACUUGCACUAGAGUCAAUAAUAUAGUUCACAUCACCAUGUGAUUCCAACGAAUCCAACACCCAUAUCGGGUCUGAUCACGUUUUGCUCGUGAGAGAGGUUUUAGUCAACGGUUCUGAAACUCCAGAUCCGUGCGUUCUUUACAAAUCUUUAUGUCAUCUUACAGAUGCUGCUACUACGUGCCAUUCGGAAAUGCUCCAAAUAUCUACUCUACUAUAUGAAUCCGUUUCACUACUCGUAGUUAUUUGGAUUAGUGUCAAAGCUUGCAUCGACGUAGCCCUUUACGACGAACUCUUCAACCACCUCCAUAAUCGAGAAAAAUUCCUUAGUCUAUUUAGUUACUAAGGAUAACUUUUGACCGCUGCUAGUGAUUCAAUCAUGGAUCACUCUCUGUACCUCUCAACAGACCUUGAGUCAAGGCACACAUCAGGUGCGAUACACAGCAUGGCAUACUUUAGAUUCUACGGCUAAGGCAUAGAAGACGACCUUCGUCUAUUCUCUUUAUUCUGCCGUGGUCGGGUUUUGAGUCUUACUCAAAUUUACAUCUUACAACGUAACCAAGAACUCCUUCUUUGUUGAUCUAUUUUGAACUCCUUCAAAACUUGUCAAGGCAUGCAUCUUAUUGAAACUUUCAUCAAGCGCUUUUGAUCCAUCUCCAUAGAUCUUUGAUGCUCAACGUUCAAGUAGCGCAAUCCAGGUAUUCCUUUGAAAACUCCUUUCAAACUACCUUGUAUGCUUUACAGAAAUUCUACAUUACUUCUGAUCCACAAUAUGUCAACCACAUAUACUUAUCAGAAAUUCUAUAGUGCUCCCACUCACUUCUUUGGAAAUACAAGUUUCUCAUAAACCUUGUACAAACCCAAAAUCUUUGAUCAUCUCAUCAAAGUGUAUAUUCCAACUCCAAGAUGCUUACACCAGUCCAUUGAAGGAUCACUGGAGCUUGCAUACUUGCUAGUAUCUUUAGGAUCGACAAAACCUUCUGGUUGUAUCACAUACAAUGUUUGCUCAAGGAAACCGUCGAGGAAACAAUGUUUUGACAUCCUACAUGCAAUAUUUCAUAAAUAAUGCAUCAACAACUAACAUAAUUCUAACAGACCUUUAGCAUCGUUAUGAGUGAGAUAGUCUCAUCAUAGUCAACUGUUUGAUCUUGUCGAAAACAUCUUUGCGACAAGUCGAGCUUUUCUUAAUAGUGACUUAUCACCAUCAUCGUCUGUCUUCUAUUAAAGAUCCAAUUUUACUCAAUAGUCCUAUGACCAUCAAGUAAUUCUUCCAAAGUCUACACUUUGUUUUCAUACAUGGAUCCUCUCUCGGAUUUCAUGGCUUCCACCCAUUUGUCGGAAUCUGGGCCCACCAUCGCUUUCUCCAUAACUCGUAAGUUCACUGUUGCUCAACAACAUGACCUCCAGGACAGGGUUACCGUACUACUCUGUAGUAGUACGCGACCUUGUCAAACUACGAGGCUUGUAGUAACUUGAUCCGAUGCUUGAUGAUCACCAUCAUCAGCUUCCACUUCAAUUGGUGUAGGCGCCACAGGAACAACUUCCUGCGCCCUGCUACACACUGGUUGAAGUGAUGGUUCAAUAACCUCAUCAAGUUCUACUACCCUCCCACUCAAUUCUUUCGAGAGAAACCUUUCCUCGAGAAAGGAUCCGUUUCUAGAAACAAACACUUUGCUUUCGGAUCUGAGAUAGGAGAUGUACCCAACUGUUUUGGAUAUCCUAUGAAGAUGCAUUUAUCCGCUUUGGGUUCGAGCUUAUCAGACUGAAACUUUUUCACAUAAGUGUAGAAGCCCCAAACUUUCAAGAAACGACAGUUUAGAUUUCUCUAAACCUCGGUCUAUACUGUGUCGUCUCAAUGGAAAUACGCGGAGCCCUAUUUAAAGUGAAUGCGGUUGUCUCUAAUGCAUAACCCAUAAACGAUAGUGGUAAUUCGAUAAGAGACAUCAUAGCAUGCACCAUACCAAAUAGUGUGUGGCUAUGACGUUCAGACACAUCAUCACACUAUGAUGUUCUAGGUGGCAUGAACUGCGAAACAAUUUCCACAUUGUCUUAACUGCGUGCCAAAACUCGUAACUCAGAUAUUCAUUUCUAUGAUCAUAUCGUAGACAGUUUAUCCUCUUGUUACGACAAACUUCACUCUGGAACGGAAUUGAACUUUUCAAUAUUUCAGACUUGUGAUUCAUUAAGUAAAUACUCCUGUAUCUACUCAAAUCGUCAGUGAAGUAAGAACAUAAUGAUAUCCACUGCGUGCCUCAGUACCCAUUGGACUCCAUACAUCAAAAUGUAUCACUUCCAACAAGUUACUAUCUUGUUUCAUCUCAAUGAAAACAAGGCCUUGCUCAUGUGGUAUGAUUUGCAUGUCACUAGUGAUUCAAAAUCAAGUGAGUAUAAAGACCCAUCAGCAUGGAGCCUCUUCAUGCAAUUUAUACCAACAUGACUCAAGCGGCAGUGCCACAAGUAAGUGGUACUAUCAUCAUUACCUCGUAUCUUUUGGCACCAAUAUCAUGAACAUGUGUAACACUACGAUCAAGAUUCAAUAAACCAUUUGAAGGUGAUUUUUCAAGCAAAUAGAGUAACCAUUAUUCUCUUUAAAUGAAUAAUCGUAUUGCAAUAAACACGAUCCAAUCAUGUUCAUGCUUAACGCAAGCACCAAAUAACAAUUAUUUAGGUUUAACACCAAUCCCGAUGGUAGAGGGAGCGUGCGACGUUUGAUCAUAUCAACCUUGGAAAUACUUCCAACACGUAUCGUCACCUCGCCUUUAGCUAGUCUCCGUUUAUGUCGUAGCUUUCAUUUCAUGUUACUAAUCACUCAGCAACCGAACCGGUAUCCAAUACCCUCAUGCUACUAGGAGUACUAGUAAAGUACACAUCAACAUCAUGUAUAUCAAAUAUACUUCUUUCGACUUUUGCCAGCCUUCUUAUCUACCAAGUAUCUAGGGUUGCUCCGCCUCAGUGACUGUUCCCCUCAUUACAGAAGCACUUAGUCUCGGGUUUGGGUUUAAUCUUGGGUCUCUUCAUUUGCGCAGCAACUUUUUUGCCGUUUCACGAAGUAUCCCUUCUAGCCCUUGCCUUUCUUGAAACUUAGUGGUUUUACAAACCAUCAACUAUUGAUGCUCCUUCUUGAUUUCUACUUUCGCAGUGUCAAACAUCGCGAAUCGCUCAAGGAUCAUUGUAUCUAUCCUUGAUAUGUUAUAGUUCAUCAUGAAGCUCUCACAGCUUGGUGGCAGUGACUUUGGAGAACCAUCACUAUCUCAUCUGGAAGAUUAACUCCCACUUGAUUCAAGUGAUUGUCGUACUCAGACAAUCUGAGCACAUGCUCAACGAUUGAGCCUUUCUCCUUUACUUUGUGGACAAAGAAUCUUGUCGGAGGUCUUGUACCUCUUAACAAGGGCACAAGCACGAAAUCACAAUUUCAUCUCUUUAGAACAUCACUUAUGUUCCGCGACGUUUCAAAAAAAACGUCUUCGGAGCCUUGCUUCUAAGCCAUUAAGUAUUUUGCACUGAACUAUCGUGUAGUCAUCAGAAACGUGUAUGUCGGAUGUUCACAGCAUCCACAGACGACGCUCGAGGUGCAGCACGCCGAGUGGUGCAUUAAGGACAUAAGCCUUCUGCGUAGCAACGAGGACAAUCCUCGGUUUUACAGACUUAGUCUGCAAAGUUUGCUACUAUCAACUUUCAGCUAAAUUUUCUCUAGGAACAUAUAAAAAACAGUAGAGCUAUAGCGCAAGCUACAUCGUAAUUCGCCAAGACCAUUAGACUAUGUUCAUGACAAUUAGUUCAAUUAAUCAUAUUACUUAAGAACUCGCACUCAAAAAGUACAUCUCUCUAGUCAUUUGAGUGGUACAUGAUCCAAAUCCACUAUCUCAAGUCCGAUCAUCACGUCAGUCGAGAAUAGUUUCAGUAGUAAGCAUCUCUAUGCUAAUCAUAUCAACUAUACGAUUCAUGCUCGACCUUUCGGUCUCAUGUGUUCCGAGGCCAUGUCUGCACAUGCUAGGCUCGUCAAGCUUAACCCGAGUGUUCUGCGUGUGCAACUGUUUUGCAUCCGUUGUAUGUGAACGUUGAGUCUAUCACACCCGAUCAUCACGUGGUGUCUCGAAACGAAGAACUGUAGCAACGGUGCACAGUCGGGGAGAACACAAUUUCGUCUUGAAAUUUUAGUGAGAGAUCACCUCAUAAUGCUACCGUCGUUCUAAGCAAGAUAAGGUGCAUAAAGGAUUAACAUCACAUGCAAUUCAUAAGUGACAUGAUAUGGCCAUCAUCAUGUGCUUCUUGAUCUCCAUCACCAAAGCACCGGCACGAUCUUCUUGUCACCGGCGUCACACCAUGAUCUCCAUCAUCAUGAUCUCCAUCAACGUGUCGCCAUCGGGGUUGUCGUGCUACUCAUGCUAUUACUACUAAAGCUACAUCCUAGCAAAAUAAACGCAUAUGCAAGCACAAACGUUAGUUAUAAAGACAACCCUAUGGUUCCUGCCGGUUGCCGUACCAUCGACGUGCAAGUCGAUAUUAACUAUUACAACAUGAUCAUAUCAUACAUCCAAUAUAUCACAUCUCAUCGUUGGCCAUAUCACAUCACAAGCAUACCCUGCAAAAACAAGUUAGACGUCCUCUAAUUUUGUUGUUGCAUGUUUUACGUGGUGACCAUGGGUAUCUAGUAGGAUCGCAUCUUACUUACGCAAACACCACAACGGAGAUAUAUGAGUUGCUAUUUAACCUCAUCCAAGGACCUCCUCGGUCAAUUCCGAUUCAACUAAAGUUGGAGAAACUGACACCCGCCAUUCAUCUUUGAGCAACGGAGUUACUCGUAGCGAUGAAACCAGUCUCUCGUAAGCGUACGAGUAAUGUCGGUCCGAGCCGCUUCGAUCCAACAAUACCGCGGAAUCAAGAAAAGACUAAGGGGGGCAGCAAAACGCACAUCACCACCCACAAAAACUUUUGUGUUCUACUCGAGAAGACAUCUACGCAUGAACCUAGCUCAUGAUGCCAUUGUUGGGGAACGUCGCAUGUGAAACAAAAAAUUUCCUACGCGCACGAAGACCUAUCAUGGUGAUGUCCAUCUACAAGAGGGGCUUUCGAUCUACGUACCCUUGUAGAUCGCACAGCAGAAGCGUUAGUGAACGCGGUUGAUGUAGUGGAACGUCCUCACGUCCCUCGAUCCGCCCCGCGAACCGUCCCGCGAUCAGUCCCACGAUCUAGUGCCGAACGGAUGGCACCUCCGCGUUCAGCACACGUACAGCUCGACGAUGAUCUCGGCCUUCUUGAUCCAGCAAGAGAGACGGAGAGGUAGAUGAGUUCUCCGGCAGCGUGACGGCGCUCCGGAGGUUGGUGGUGAUCUUAUCUCGGCAGGGCUCCGCCCGAGCUCCGCAGAAACGCGAUCUAGAUGUAAAACCGUGGAGAUAUGUGGUCGGGCUGCCGUGGCAAAAGUUGUCUCAAAUCAACCCUAAUACCUCAGUAUAUAUAGGAGGGAGGGGGAGGGAAGAGGCAGCCUCAAACCCUCAAGGUUUGGCCGAAAUUGGAGGUGGAGGAGUCCUACUCCAAUCCUACUUGGAGUAGGAUUCCACCUUCCCACUUGCAAACUCUUUCCACCUUGUGUUUUUUCCUUCUCAAACCUUAUGGGCCUUAGUGGGAACAUAUUCCAGCCCACUAGGGGCUGGUUUAUCUCUUCCCAUAGCCCAUGAGACCCCUUGGGGCGUGACACCCCUCCCGAUGGUCCCCGACACCCCUCCCGGCACUCCCGGUACACUACCGAUGAGCCCGAAACUUUUCCGAUGACCAAAACAAGACUUCCUAUAUAUCAAUCUUUACCUCCGGACCAUUCCGGAGCUCCUCGUGACGUCCUGGAUCUCAUCCGGGACUCCGAACAACAUUCGGUAACCAACCAUAUAACUCAAAUACGCAUAAAACAACGUCGAACCUUAAGUGUGCAGACCCUGCGGGUUCGAGAACUAUGUAGACAUGACCCGAGUGACUCCUCGGUCAAUAUCCAAUAGCGGGACCUGGAUGCCCAUAUUGGAUCCUACAUAUUCUCCGAAGAUCUUAUCGGUUGAACCUUAGUGUCAAGGAUUCAUAUAAUCCCGUAUGUCAUUCCCUUUGUCCUUCGGUAUGUUACUUGCCCGAGAUUUGAUCGUCAGUAUCCGCAUACCUAUUUCAAUCUCGUUUACCGGCAAGUCUCUUUAAUCGUUCUGUAAUUCAAGAUCCCGCAACUUACACUAAGUCACAUUGCUUGCAAGGCUUGUGUGUGAUGUUGUAUUACCGAGUGGGCCCCGAGAUACCUCUCCGUCACACGGAGUGACAAAUCCCAGUCUCGAUCCAUACUAACUCAACGAACACCUUAGGAGAUACCUGUAGAGUAUCUUUAUAGUCACCCAGUUACGUUGCGACGUUUGAUACACACAAAGUAUUCCUCCGGUGUUAGUGAGUGAUAUGAUCUCAUGGUCAUAGGAACAAAUACUUGACACGUAGAAAACAGUAGCAAUAAAAUGACACGAUCAACAUGCUACGUCUAUUAGUUUGGGUCUAGUCCAUCACAUGAUUCUCCUAAUGAUGUGAUCCCAUUAUCAAGUGACAACACUUGCCUAUGGCCAGGAAACCUUGACCAUCUUUGAUCAAUGAGCUAGUCAACUAGAGGCUUACUAGGGACAGUGUUUUGUCUAUGUAUCCACACAAGUAUUGUGUUUCCAAAUCAAUACACAAUUAUAGCAUGGAUAAUAAACGAUUAUCAUGAACUAAGAAAUAUAAUAAUAACUAAUUUAUUAUUGCCUCUAGGGCAUAUUUCCAACAAGUUGGGCCUUGCCAGACCAGCUUUAAUCUAAAACGAAUUAUCAAGGGGGUCCCCAUAACAACCCCGAUCGUGUUAGGAGCGCUCAUUUACGGAACAUAACACCGGUAGCUGGUAACUAAGUGGGCAAAGGUGGAACAAAACACCAGGCUAGAAAGGUCGAGCCUUCCACCUUUUACCAAGUAUAUAGGUGCAUUAAAUUAAAUAGCAUUAAUAUGGUGAUAUGACAAGGAACCCAUGUUUUCACAUGGAAGCAUCUACACCUGCAACUAGCAACGCUAACACAGGGUUAAGCAAGCGGUAACAUAGCCAAUCAGUGGUUUGCUAGGUCGAACGGGUUGAAGGUUAACAUGGCAUUGUUGAGAGGCUGAUAUUUAACAGGUGGUAGGGACCGAGACAUAAUCGAUAGAAAUGAUAAAACUAGCAUGGCAAUGAUAGUAAUGGUAUCUGGGGAAAUGGUCAUCUUGCCUAAGAUCCCGCUUGGAAGAAGAAUGACUCCGUGAAGCAGACGAACCGUCGUAGUCGAACGGCUCCUCACAAUCCGACACACUUGCAGAACUCUAUCGAGACGGGGAAAACCGGAAACAAGCAUCAACACACGAAAUUCACCACACGAUGCACAACACAAAUGAUGAAUGAGCAGCUGAAUACAUGCAAGUCACGGCAUGACAAAUCACACAAUCAAUCAUUACACAUUAAGUGAAGUUCAAUAUGCAACAAGUUGCAUAUUGACGAAACUCCACGUUUAUUUAUUUAGUUCUAUCCCGAUUAGGUACACGGCAAUAUUAAAUGUGAUUAAACAUGGCAAGAGGUGAAGCGCAAUUAAUCUACCUAUCUAGGCAUUUUAAAUGAGGUCGGAAAUGACAUAUAACACCUCCGAGACAACCUCACAUGUUAAGUUACAAUUCUGUCCAGAUCUGAACUAAUGCAUUUAUUUAGUUGUUAAACCGCAAAACAAAUAGAUUCACGUGAUUCUACGCAUCAUUUCAAGCAAUCUACACAUAAAGAACAUCUCCAACGGAGCUACGGGUCAAAAGUUACAAGCACCGCAAGAUAUGAUGGCAUGAAUGCAAAAUCUGUGCAACGACGGUCACGAGCACUUCAAAACAUCCAACCAGAAAGGGAAAAUGAAACUACACGAGAUUCUAAGCAAGUUUCAUGUAGGACACGAUCAAAUCGGAGCUACGGUUCAAAAACUACGAGCAAAACCAGAAAUGACUACAAUCUGCCAAAAUCAGCCACAUAGCAUAUUCUACGCCCCACAACUACGAGCUACACAACUCCGAUAAACUUAAGCAAGACAUGGCACGAAAGAAGGAAAGAAGCACUACUACAAACAACUAACAACAACUAGCAUGGCAGCAAGGAGCACUAGGAAAAGAAGACACAAAAUGGCAUCUCACACACUAUUUCAGACGUAGUGAAAAUUACACCUCAUGAAAGUGCAGUUUUCGAUCUGAAGCAAUAUUGGAAGCAGCAAAAUCUAUAGCUACAGGACUCCAAAUGACAUGAAAAUUUACAGCAUACUAGAGAAACACAAGGGGUACAACUAAAUCCAUUGGACCAACCUCAAAAGAGCUACAGAUCAUAAGAUGCAAGCAAGAUAAGACAGCAACAAAAUAAUAACAGAUUCCAGACUUAGAAAUAUUUCAGCUCCUCAAAAUCAGCAAUAUUUCUAGCAACUUGAGAGCAAUCAAACUACACUUAAACAUGCAUUUCUAUUGCAACUAAAAAUACCAGGGGCUAGUCUAAACACCCAAGAACAACUCCCUAGUUGACAACUUAAUCAAAUGGAGCACGGAAUAAAUCCUACGAAUUAAACAAAAGGGCAUCACGGCAAAAUAUCGCGCGAACCAACUUCCUCAAAAGCUAAAACUAAUUUCACAGAAAAAUCCCAUGGAUUUUUCUACCCCGGAAACAUAUAAAAUAUGUGGGGUUGCACAACAAAAAUAAAGCCUCACAUAAAUACGGGAAAAUAAUCUAUAUACGGGAAAAUAAACUAGAGGGAAUUUCCUACACGCAAAAAUACAAAUGACCGCUCUAAAAUGCAUGGAAAAAUGGUCCCUAAAACAUGGGCAUUUUACCUAAGGCACUCGAGCAAUCCGGACCGCAAGAAAAAUAAAUACGGGACGCAAACAACAUAGGACAGCACGCUAAACUAGGCGUUAGGCACGAUAAACGACUUCAAACCAAUAUGCAAGUUGUGAAAUCAUGUUCUACUCGCAAAACUACCCCAAAACCAUAUAAAAUACGCCUCGAUCCGACUAACGGUUAAUCAACUACGGGCGUUUGAAAAACAAGCAUACUUACUGGAAAAGAAUAAACGCUCGACGGGAAAAAAAAAAGCUAUGGGCCCUAACUAGCUAACGGGCCGAAACAGAGGCAUGCGCUAAAGCACUAAAAGACGCCGGCGACGGGGAAUAGGACUCACCCACGUGGCCACAUGGACCGGUUGUUGAUGGGCUUGGGUAGGAGGCCGGCCUGGGCCGGGACGGAGGAGGCAGGCCCACGCGGGGGCGAGGGGAGCUGCUGGCGCUGGUGGGCCGCGACGCUGGGAAGGCCCAGAGCGGUCAACCGCUCGCGAACGGGCGCCACCUUGUCGUCCUCCUCGAUCCAGAGGAGACGGCGGCGCUGGAGCUGCUACGACGGCCGGCGACAGGGCUUCCGGCGAGGGGGAAGCCGCCCCGGGAGCGCGGCGAUGCAGGGCUGGCCGGAGGGGACCGGAUCCGGGGGUUCCCGGCCCGGAUCUGGCGACGGGAGGCGGCGGCAGCAGCUCGCCGGCAGCAGGGACCGCGGCGACGGGAGCACGGGAGCCCGACGGCGGGGUAAGGGAGGUCGGCGGUGCGGASAAUAUGCUAGGAUCCAAUAUGGGCAUCCAGGUCCUGCUAUUGGAUAUUGACCGAGGAGUCACUCGGGUCAUGUCUACAUAGUUCUCGAACCCGCAGGGUCUGCACACUUAAGGUUCGACGUUGUUUUAUGCGUAUUUGAGUUAUAUGGUUGGUUACCGAAUGUUGUUCGGAGUCCCGGAUGAGAUACAGGACGUCACGAGGAGCUCCGGAAUGGUCCGGAGGUAAAGAUUGAUAUAUAGGAAGUCCUGUUUUGGUCACCGGAAAAGUUUCGCGCUCAUUGGUAGUGUACCGGGAGUGCCGGGAGGGGUGCCGAGGACCAUCGGGAGGGGUGUCACGCCCCAAGGGGUCUCAUGGGCUAUGGGAAGAGGUAAACCAGCCCCUAGUGGGCUGGAAUAUGUUCCCACUAAGGCCCAUAAGGUUUGAGAAGGAAAAAACACAAGGUGGAAAGAGUUUCCAAGUGGGAAGGUGGAAUCCUACUCCAAGUAGGAUUGGAGUAGGACUCCUCCACCUCCAAUUUCGGCCAAACCUUGAGGGUUUGAGGCUGCCUCUUCCCUCCCCCUCCCUCCUAUAUAUACUGAGGUAUUAGGGUUGAUUUGAGACAACUUUUGCCACGGCAACCCGACCACAUAUCUCCACGGUUUUACCUCUCGAUCGCGUUUCUGCGGAGCUCGGGCGGAGCCCUGCCGACAUAAGAUCACCACCAACCUCCGGAGCACCGUCACGCUGCCGGAGAACUCAUCUACCUCUCCAUCUCUCUUGCUGGAUCAAGAAGGCCGAGAUCAUCGUCGAGCUGUACGUGUGCUGAACGCGGAGGUGCCGUCCGUUCGGCACUAGAUCGUGGGACUGAUCGCGGGACGGUUCGCGGGGCGGAUCGAGGGACGUGAGGAUGUUCCACUACAUCAACCGCGUUCACUAACGCUUCUGCUGUGCGAUCUACAAGGGUACGUAGAUCGAAAGCCCUCUCGUAGAUGGACAUCACCAUGACAGGUCUUCGUCCGCGUAGGAAAUUUUUUGUUUCCCAUGCGACGUUCCCCAACACAACUUUGGUACUAUAUUUGCCUAAUAACCUAAUAAUAAUGCAUAGGGAUCCGCGGCACCCGCGGACUAUUUUAAUCAACCCCCGGGCAUGUGCUCCUCAUGAGUGUUGGUCCCACCUGAGCGAUGUCCGGCGCCCCUCUGGUCACCCGGAGGUUUAGCGAUCCCGACGUCAAGCUCAUCUGCCGUGUCCUGAGAACGAGGUACGCGACUCCUAUCGGGAUCGUCGACACGUCGGGCGGCCUUGCUGGAUUAGUUUUACCUUUGACGAGAUAUCUUGUGCAUCGGGAUUCCGGUGAUGCUUUGGGUAAUCUCAGAGUUGAGGUUUUCCACUAGGGAAUCCGACGAGAUCGCGAGCUUCGUGAUUGAGGAUUUCUAUGCGGCUUGUGGUAAUUUGUGAUGGACUAGUUGGAGCACCCCUGCAGGGUUAAAUCUUUCGGAAAGUUGUGCCCGCGGUUUUGUGGCAACGUGGAAACUUUGUUUAACACUGGUUCUAGAUAACUUGAAGUUAACUUAAUUAAAACUUGCCAACUGUAUGCGUAACCGUGACUAUGUCCUUCGUGAGUUCUUACUCCGAUCGAGGACACAGUGGGGUAAUGUCUGACGUAGGUAGGUGUUCAGGAUCAUUCAUUUGAUCAUCAGUAGUUCACGUCCGCUAUGCGUAGAUUUCCCCCCUCUUAUUUCUUGUACUUGUAAGUUAGCCACCAUAUAUAUGCUUAGCCGCUGCUGCAACCUCACCACUUAACCAUAUCUCACCCAUUAAGCUUUGCUAGUCUUGAUACCUUUGGAAAUGAGAUUGCUGAGUCCCCUGUGGCUCACAGAUUACUACAACACCAGUUGCAGGUACAGGUAAAGGUUACUUGACGCGAGCGCGUUGAUUGUUCAUUUGGAGUUGCUUCUUCUUCUUCUUCGUCGAUCUAGGAUGGGCAAACGCAAAACGGCCUGCACCACUUCGCAACGCACGUCUCCGCUGCCCACCUCCUGUAAUCCCUAUAAAACCACCCCUUGCUCUUCGCUUGCACGACCCCACUCGCCCGGAUGCCACCGCGAUCGGGUCCCUCAUCCUCAAGGCCUCAACUGGGCGCUCCAACCUCCAAGAUCUCCCAAUGGCGUACGCCUCCUCCAUCUUCUCAUCUGGUUCAUCUUCACCAUUGAGUCCACUACUCCUCCGGUGGUGGUUCCGUGCUCGGCCUGGGAGGCGCUGACGGUGGGGAGCAGCGGCGCAUCGACGGACAUCAUUGCAUGUGCAGCAUGCAUCGGCGGCGGCUGCAGAGCCACAGAAGAGCAACGGUGCGAAGCAGGUGCAGGUCAGAAGGAGGCAGCACGGGACCGGGCGGCGCUGGAGGCACAACUUGUCCUCGAGUGUGGCGUGGGUCUUUUUCUUAUGCCAGACAGAAAGAUAAGAACAAUGUGUUAAUGAUGAGAUCAGUUUGUAUAGAAUCAUAAAGAGAUCAGUUUGUAUAGAAUCAUAAUGAACUUGACAUCUCGCUAAGGCACACAUAUAGACACUUGCUGCAACUUUCUUUGUUACAAUGGAACAUCUUCUAGUCUAAGUAUUUUGGGAUGGAGGGGGUAGUAGUUUAGCAACGAGUUGUUUUGUUUUGGAUUUUUAAUAUUAUUUCUGUACACUAACUAGCCCUAUAAAACGCAGGACUUGUUUUUUGUUUUGGGAAUUUUGUUUUCGGAGCAUGAACUACCGUAAACUUGGAUGUGGUAUCUGGUUUCACUAAUGAUAAUGUAACGCGUCCCUUGUUCAUCUAAAAAUACAUACAUGAUUUUUUCUUCUUUUUUGCAAUCAAAAGUACGGUAUUUCUUCCAGAUUCACAAGAUUACAAUCGGCAACGACUAGUUCAACAAUACAAGGGGGAGGUUGGUUAAGCCAACAUGCAGUGCUAUCCCCACUACGUCCAAUAUCCGCUAAACAAUCUGCAACCCUGUUUGGUUCACGAGAGAUUUUUACAUGAGUAAAUACUUUAUCUUCCAGAAGAACUUUUAUCUAUGCAAUCAAAUGGCCAUUCGCCGAUCUGUCUAAAGAACGGUCCUUGAACACCGACAAUGCUAUGGUGUUGUCAGACUCGAUCAUCAUUGGUAAGGCAGUCCAUAGGAAUGCCAAGCCAAGACCCUCCAUUAUCGCAUGUAGCCCCGACUCCAGAGCAUCAUUACAGUUGUAUAAUCGUAUGUAGGCCGCAAAAAUCAUCGCUCCCUUCUCAUCCCUCAAAAUCAUCCCAGUACCAGCUGAACCGUCCGCUUUAAUAAAACAUCCAUCUACGGAUAAUGCAACCGAACCAAAAGGUGGGCAUGGCCAUCAUAUGCUCGGUGGCUUCGGUUUGGUCUGAGGCAACGGUCGUACGUCGAACACCGCAUAUUUUCCUUUUAUUACCUCCUGAACACUAUGUCGGCGCACUUGAAUCAAUGAGUUAAGAUAGCUUCUUUGGAACAAGCAAGACACUUUUAGGAGGGGGGGGGGUAAUGAGUUUUUCACUAGUGUAUUGAAAAUAAACCAGGAUCACGUUGACAUUUAUGUGAUCCUGCAGGGUGGAUUAGGGCAUCUCCAGCCGUGCCCCCAGGACGCCCCCAAACACAUUUUUUUAGCACCACGAUCGAAAAAAGUUCAAGCCAUGCCUUGAGGAUGUUGUUUUGCGCCGGAUUUGAGCAAAACUAGCCUGGACGAUCCCAGGCCGAACCCAGCCCCCUGGGGGCACUUAGGGUGUCCGGCGUUGUUGCUGCAUGCACAAACCCCACCGGUAAGCCUCUCUCCUCUCCAUCUCCAUCCUUUUUCUGUUAGGCCCAUCCAUGUGCAUGCAAAAAAUAAUUUUCUUCUCUCUCUCACGCAUGUGUCCUGUGGGUAGUUGGAGGCCAUCUUUUCGUCCGUGUGCACCUAUUGUCUAGCACAAACAGACUAUUCCAUACACAACUACUCUUUCAUCUGAUGAAAUGGAAGUGCAAAGCUGAAAUAGGUCAUGACGAACAUUGUUAUGGUACGUCCAAAUUUAAUGGUCCAAAAAAAUAAAUACGGUGUGACCUUAUUUAUGACGUUUACAAAAUUUGAAUUAAAAAAUGGUUGCAUAAUAAAAGGUGGAGAAAGUUAUAUUUAAUAUUUUGUCCGAUGCAACACACGGGCAUUUGUACUAGUAGUAGUCUAAUGAUGGCAUAUAUAAAAAGAAAGACCUUAUUAUGACGUUUUACAAAAUUUGGAUUAAAAAAUGGUUGCAUAAUAAAAGGUGAAGAAAGUUAUAUUUAAUAUUUUGUCCGAUGCAACGCACGGUCAUUUGUACUAGUAGGAGCCUAGUGGCGGCAUAUAUAAAAAGAAAGAACUUGAACAAAAAGCCAGGUGCUAAUGUCUAGCACAUGCCAACCCGAGGGAUGCAAUUGCGCUUUGGCAUCUUUCAUUUGUGCGCUUUGGCAUCUUUCGCAACUGACAGCCGUGCAUCAUCCCCGUGUUGGCGAUGCAGUGGGCAGAAUAGGGCCUAAUAUACCGGGCACGUCCUGAUUGAGCUUCCGGUACGGUACUAACUUGUGCAGCGAUUCGCGCCGUCGAUUUCGCGUCCCGCGCGCGCUGGCAACCCUGAAAAACUCGGUUCGGGCCCAAGUGAAACUGGGCCAGUUCUCGUGUCUUUCCCUCGAGCCGUCUCCUCCCCACCUCGAGCGACUCCUCCCCGUCGCCGACGGCCUAUUCCGGGGCAACCUCUCCGCCUCACCUCGUCUCGUCUUCCUCCCAGAUCCACCACGCAACGGUCGCCAUGGGCCUCGACGGCGCGCCGGCCUGCUCCAUCCUCACUCAAAACCUCGAGUGGCCGUGGGUGAGGAGACUGCGGCCAGAGCGACCGGAUUCACGCCGUCGUCAACAGCACCUGACGCCAUCAAGUUCUGCUGCUCCUUCGUCAUGAACAAGGAGAGGCCGACGCUAUCCAGGUCCGCCACCAAGGACUGCUGCUGCAGGCACCGCCACUCCCAGCACAUUAUCUCCAAGGUCUCUGUCUCCCCCUUCCACGUACUACUAUGUUAUCUCAUGCACAUUAAUUGGGUCUGAAAGGCAGUUUAGUUAGGCAACACCUUUUAAUCAUGCAAGUAAUUUUCAACAGUGUUGAUCUGUUUCUCUCUCUCGAAUUGAGGAGGAGAGACUCAUAAUACAGGAUAUCUGUCACAGCUGACCCAUCAAAAAGAGACAGGUUCUGCAAUCUACUGUGUUGAUCUCUAGACAGGCAAAAAUCUGUUUUCUAUCUUAUCCUGUUCAUGCAUAGUAGGUAAGGCUGGACGGAACGAGCGAACUUUUCGGCCCGUUAAGGACCGGAUCGUACGGUCCAGGACCGGUGAAAAAACUGGUCGGUCCGGGCUGCAAUUUCCAGCUCGAGAAAAUGUUGGUCCGGUCCAGUCUUUAACCGAGCCGCUCCGUCGGACCGAGAACACGCAAUCACCGUCGCUCUUGUGCUUCGUCGUCGUGGUCACCGGCAACCCCCGUGUGAACCAUCAUGUCCGCAAGCUUCCCCUAUCAUUCCUUCCUCAGGCCCCGAUGUGUCAUAGCCUCUUUGCACUGCUCGCAAUCUCUGCCGUGCGUGCACCGCCGCCCAUCUGAAGUUCUGGAGUUAACUAGGUGCACCGCCGCCCAUCAAGUAUCGCUUCGUCUUCGUUAUCUGUUAACUAGGUUUCAGUCAAGAGCUCCCCGUGUUAUAUGAGUAGAUGGUGAUGCUAGCAUGCACGUUUACAAUACGUGUUGAAUAUACUUGUUUCUCAAUAAGAUCAUGAUUCUUUAGCUUUCAUUGGUCAGCCUGUCGAUUUUCUUUUUGAAUGUGCGUAUUGGUACAUACUCCCUCCCUCCCAAAAUAAGUGACUUAAAAAUGACUAAACUUUACACUAACUUUAAUACAAAGUUGAGUCUUUUUGAGUCACUUAUUUUAAAACGGAGGGAGUACUUGUUAACUGGAUCCAUUGCAUCUUUGCAUGACUAAUUGUUAAGCUGAUACAGUUUGUCUAGUGGACGAGUUUGGAAAUAAUCAUUAACUUUUCUAAAAUUUAUACUUGUCUUGACUAACCACUGUUUUUCAGUUAAGAACUCCACACGUUAUAUGAGUAGAUGGUGAUAUCCUAGCAUGUACAUUUACAACACGUGUUGACAUAUACUACUACCUUCAACAGGAUCAUGAUUCUUCAGUUUCAUUGGUUAGCCUGUCAAUUUGAGUGUGUUAAUUGAUACAUACUUGUUGAUUGGACCAUUUUUUUUCAGUUUGCACCCAUCAACCUCUAUUUGCUUGAUAGUUUGCGAGUACUUCCCCACCUCCUGCGUCGUUCCUACGAACGACUGGGGGGGGGGGACCCUAGCCGCCAGUACUCUGUGCCCUCUCUCCCUACCUAGGAACCGGGCCUAGGCCUUGCGGCCGGGGGCCCUGUGGUAGAUCGGAGGUGGACGAUAGGCAAGGUGAAAAGAGGUGAGGAGAGGGGGCUAUGACGGAGACAUGUUUGGCUCCCAUGACUGAGAGGAACGAUGUCGAGGAUGUGGAAAAUGUGGUCCUGCAAGGAGAGCUAGAGGAAGAGGACAGAUGGGGGAGAUCUGAUGAGAGGGCGCCGCUGCUCCUGCGGCACCGCACUGUCGCUCUUUCCAUGCCGCGCCGCUACUAUUGGUUAGAGAGACAGGAGAUGAGAUGGGGAAAAAAUUUAGGCCCGAAUAAUUCUGUGAGGAAGAGAAAAGUUGUCGAGGCGGUAUAGAAAGAGUCAUGUUAAGAGGCAAGGUCAAAGCACAAACCAACCCGUGGUUGGAUGGUUAGGAGGACUGUGGUAUCCCCUGCUCAUCAGAGUUCAAGUACCAGAUUUAACGUUGGUGCUUACAUUUUUCUGGAUUUAUUCCAGGUCUUUCAGCGAUGUGCUUUCAGUAGGAGGAGACAUUCCCGUCGACAACGAAGGCGUUAGUGGCGACUUCGUCAAUCUCAAGAUGAUGUGCCGACUUAGUCUCUCGAAGGUGCGCAUAGGGGUAGGAUGUGCGUGCGUGCGUUCAUAUGGGUGAGUGUACGCUCGUGUAUGUGAGCGACUUCGAAUGUACUCUGUUCAAAAGAGGCAAGGUCAAAGGUUAUAUUAAAUAGUGGGAUCAUUUAAAUCAUAUCAAUGGGGAUGUAGCUCAAUUGAUAGAGCGCUUAUCAAUGCUAGUAAGAGGCAGGCGGUUCGAUACCUCCCAUCUCCAGUGUUGCUUAUUUUUUCCAUUAGUGUAUUGCUUUUUUAAGAGAAGUAUAUGUUUUUUCUCUAUCUGUAGAAAACUAGGCCUCGGAGAUUUUGAUGCUACAUGGGCUUCUUUCUAAGGCCUUUGUUAGGCUGGGAAGCAGUCGGUAGCCAAGCCAUUGCAUGCACCUUUUUUUUAAUGAGGAAGGCCAGAGUGGCCCUUAUAUUACAUGUGAUAAAAUAGUUACAUCAUUUGCUAGAGUAUCAAUGAGGAAGCCAGGGGCUCCUCCAUCCACUUUAUAGUUCUAGUGGGUUCAGCAAAUCUAGCUAAUGUAUCUGCAACCAUGUUUGCUUCCCUGGGACAGAAAACAAAAUGAAUAGAGCUAAAAUUUAAUAUAAUGAUAAAACUCACUAAUAGUAAACAUCAGGAAAAAUAAUCGCUCAAAAAUCUAUUUUUAAACUAAAGUUAUUCACAAAGUAGUGAUUCAAAGAAAUUUCAAAGAAUUAAAAUUUAAGCUAUUUAAAUUUGAAAACUGCGAGCACUAACAUAAAGUUUAUAAUUUUUGUGACCUAAAGCAAGAAGAUUCAUUCAAAAACUAUACAUAUUCUAACAGUUAUUCCAAAUCUAAAAACAGAAAUUGUCGUGUUUAGAAAAACAAAACAAGCCAAAAAAAGAGAAAAUAGACCUUUAGUCCCGGUUGAAGCCACCAACCGGAUUAAAGGUCCCUUCUUGCGUGGAAUUUGGACCACCAAAAAGGAGACCUUUAGUCCCGGUUCGUUGCUCCAAACGGGACUAAAGGGAGGAACUUUAUUCCCGGUUGCAGACACCAACCGGGACUAAAUUGGUCUCGCCAACCGGGACUAAAGGUCUCAUUCGAACUGAGACUAAUGCCUACCGAGCUCCGUCCGGCGUCCUAGCCGCUCGAACCGGGACAACCGGGACAAUUGCUCCGAUCUGGCUAGGACAAAAGCCCUGUUUUCUACUAGUGCUUUUAAAUUCUAUAGAUGAGUCAACAAACAUAACUGGGUAAAGAUGGCAGCUUUUGCACUUCCGGUUAAUCACUUGUUAUUUGCAGAUGACGGCCUGCUGAUUUUCAAGUCAAGUGGUGACGGGAAAAUGAGCUAAACCAGUUGUUAACCAUAUAUUGCCAGGCUUUUGGCCAAUGCAUAAACUAUGAUACAUCUUCCAUUUUCUUUAGUAAGGGAUGCCUAGGUAAUGUUAGGGAGGAAGUACAAGGAUUGUUGCAUGUUCCGAAUGAAACAUUCAAUGGAAAAUAUUUGAGUAUGCCAUCUGAUGUGGGUGCUUCAAACAAUGGAACUUUCAAGUACUUAAAAGAAUAUCUGUGGAAAGUCGAAGGAUGGAUUGAAAAAACAUGUUCUCGGCUGGUAAGGAAGUGUUGGUUAAGUCGGUUGCACAAGUUGUACAUGUUUAUUCUAUGUCUUGCUUUAAACUUCCUAGGGGACUCGGUGAACAGUUGCAUAAGUUGAUUCAGAAAUUCUUGUGGGGAAGCAAUGAUGGCCAUCACAGGCUCAACUGGGUCUAGUAUGAUACAAGCAAAGUACAUGGGAGGACUGGGUUUCAAAUAUUUCCAGCUCCUUAAAUCUAGCGCGUCUAGCAAAGUAGUCAUGGCGUAUUCUUGAAACUCAAGAAUCACUCAGUGCAAGAAUCUUAAAAGUGGUUUAUUUUCCAUCGGAUACAAUUUUGAAUCUAGAACUUGGCAGUCACCCUUGCCAAACAUGGUACAUGGAUACCAUUUUGGCGGGAUGCGAUAUAUUGACACAUGGGCUGAUUAGGCGGAUAGGUAAGGAAGCAUCGACCGAUAUAUGGAAUGACAACUGCAUACCGAGGGAUGUAAUGAUGCGCCCCUUCGGCUGUCGGUCUCGCCCCCCCCCCCCCCCUUCCCACCCACACAUACACAUUUGUUUCCGAAAUUAUUGACCAUACCACUGCUAAAUGGGACAGAGUAAAAGUUGUCAAGGAUUUCCUAACGACUGGUGUGCCAGCCAUCCUCAGCAUAUCGUUGUGUACUAGGUAUCUGGAUGAUAGCUGGUCAUGGGAUUUUAAAAAAAGUGGGAGCUUCUCAGUCAGAUCGGCCUACAGAAUGAUGAUCACAACGAAAUGAAGGAAGAAAGCUUGGUUACAUGGUUCCUCAGGAUCAACGUGCAAUGAAAGAGACGCGACAUCGCGGAGAUUACCAUGGAAGAUUCCAGUCCCUGGCAAGAUACGCAAUGUUUCUCUCAAGACUAGCGAAAAACUGUCAGCCAACGGAGGAUGUUAGAGCACGUAGAAAAAUGUCCGUCACAAGCUCUUGUCCCUUGUGUGGAGCUGUUGAUUUAUGAUAGCAUUCUCUUCUUAAGUGUACUAUGGCACAGCGUGUCUGGGCACUAUUUGAUGGAGAAUUGGUGGAAUUUUUUUGCAAAACAACGGAACCUAGUGCAAGACAAUGGUUGUUCUCGAUGUCGACACGCUCUCAUGUGAAUCUUUUGUCAAGCUAUCAGUGAUCUUCUGGGCGAUUUGUUGGGCAAGGAGACAAGUUAUUCAAGGAGGUUGCCGCGCUAGAAGCAAUCGCUCGUCACGAAGCUUCGUAUCUUGCUGAGGAUCUUCUAAUUCAAGAUUUUAUUGUUGCCUCCUACCCGAAACAUGUGAUAAACGACAAUGAGAAGAGAACGAACAGUCGGUAUGGACAUAUGAUAGUCAAGCUCAAUUCAAUUGAAGGAUUCAUGGUCGAUUCAAUAUGAUUGGGUGGCAAAAUUAAUUUUCAGUGUUGCAAAUUAUAAAGUUAUACUACCUGAGCGCCACCAGGUCAAAGUUAUUUUUUGUUUGCCAAAGUAUGAAAUAUAUAAUGCAUGAAACUUCCCUAUCAAAAUCUUAGCAACAGUAAGAAACAGUUAAUAUAAUCUACUACCCCUAAAAAAGCAUAAAAAGACAGAUCCAACUAAGCAUAUUAGCCAUUGAUUACGUAAUCUAAUGGUCUAUAAACUCUAUAAUGUUGAGUGGACUAACGAAAACGAAACACACUAACGAAAAACGAUAGGCCCGCAUGAACGCAAAACGGCCCGCACCACAUCACAACGCACGACUCCGCUGCCCACCUCCUGUAAUCCCUAAAAAACCACCCUCGCUCUUCGCUUGCACGACCCCACUCGCCCGGAUGCCACCGCGAUCGGGUCCCUCAUCCUCAAGGCCUCAACCGGGCGCUCCAACCUCCAAGAUCUUCCAAUGGUGUGGGCCUCCUCCGUCUUCUCACCUGGUUCAUCUACACCAUUGAGUCCACUACUCGUCAGGUGGUGGUUCUAUGCUCGGCCUGGGAGGCGAUGACGGUGGGGAACAGCGGCGCAUCGGCGGACAUCAUUGCAUGUGCAGCAUGCAGCGGCAGCGGCUGCAGAGCCACGGAAGAGCAGCGGUGCUAAGCAGGUGCAGGUUAGAAGGAGGCAGCACGGGGCCGGGCGGCGCUGGAGGCAGAGCUUGUCCUCGAGUGUGGCGUGGGUCUUUUUCUUAUGCCAGACAGAAAGAUAAGAACAAUGUGUUAAUGAUGAGAUCAGUUUGUAUAGAAUCAUAAAGAGAUCAGUUUGUAUAGAAUCAUAAUGAACUUGACAUCUCGCUAAGGCACACAUAUAGACACUUGCUGCAACUUUCUUUGUUACAAAGGAACAUCUUCUAGUCUAAGUAUUUUGGGAUGGAGGGGGUAGUAGUUUAGCAACGAGUUGUUCUGUUUUGGAUUUUUAAUAUUAUUUUCGUACACUAACUAGCCCUAUAAAACGCAGGACUUGUUUUUGUUUUUGGGAAUUUUGUUUUCGGAGCAUGAACUACCGUAAACUUGGAUGUGGUAUCUGGUUUCACUAAUGAUAAUGUAACGCGUCCCUUGUUCAUCUAAAAAUACAUACAUGAUUUUUUCUUCUUUUUUGCAAUCAAAAGUACGGUAUUUCUUCCAGAUUCACAAGAUUACAAUCGGCAACGACUAGUUCAACAAUACAAGGGGGAGGUUGGUUAAGCCAACAUGCAGUGCUAUCCCCACUACGUCCAAUAUCCGCUAAACAAUUUGCAACCCUGUUUAGUUCACGAGAGAUUUUUACAUGAGUAAAUACUUUAUCUUCCAGAAGAACUUUUGUCUAUGCAAUCAAAUGGCCAUUCGCCGAUCUGUCUAAAGAACGGUCCUUGAACACCGACAAUGCUAUGGUGUUGUCAGACUCGAUCAUCAUUGGUAAGGCAGUCCAUAUAUAGGAAUGCCAAGCCAAGACCCUCCAUUAUCGCAUGUAGCCCCGACUCUAGUGCAUCAUUACAGUUGUAUAAUCGUAUGUAGGCCGCGAAAAUCAUCGCUCCCUUCUCAUCCCUCAAAAUCAUCCCAGUACCAGCUGAACCGUCCGCUUCAAUAAAACAUCCAUCUACAGAUAAUGCAAUCGAACCAAAAGGUUGGCAUGGCCAUCAUAGGCUCGGUGGCUUCGGUUUGGUAUGAGGCAACGGUCGUACGUCGAACACCGCAUAUUUUCCUUUUAUUACCUCCUGAACACUAAGUCGCCGCACUUGAAUCAAUGAGUUAAGAUAGCUUCUUAGGAACAAGCAAGACACUUUUAGGAGGAGAGGGGGGGGUGGAUUAAUGAUUUUUUCACUCGUGUCUUGAAAAUAAACCAGGAUCACGUUGACAUUUAUGUGAUCUUGCAGGGUGGAUUAGGGCAUCUCCAGCCGUGCCCCAGGACGCCCCCAAACACAUUUUUUAGCACCACGAUAGAAAAAAGUUCCAGCCAUGCCCCGACGAUGUUGUUUUGCGCCAGAUUUGAGGAAAACUAGCCUGGAAGAUCCCAGGCUGAACCCAGCCCCCCGGGGGCACUUAGGGCGUCUGGCACUGUUUCUGCAUGCACAAACCCCACGACGUCAUGAAUCGCCUUGCGUCGUGCCGUUCAAAUAGCCCACAACGUCACAACCACCUUGACGAACUGCUCAUGUGAUAAUGAACUCAAAAGAAAGACGUCAAUUUAUGAUAGAUUGGUUUGUUGCUCAACUUAGAUGGAUUGGCUAAUAUAGAAAGCCACGAUGCAUUCAUUGUAGAGUUUAGGUUAUAUUAUACGAAUAGAAACUAUGUCUUUUUAGGGUAAUAUCUAUAUCGAGUUUUGUGUUAAGCUGUCUAAAAUUUCCUAAGUUUUGGAGGAAGCUUUAGAAAACCUCUCUAUUCGAUUUAUCUUCGUGUAAAUUGUUUUGUGCGUGACUACCGUCGUCGAGAUUGGCUUUCUCGUACCGAGCCGUAAUUAAGGUUCAAACCCUCUACUUCGUGUGCAUCGCGUGCGCCGCGAGAGAUCGCUGCUACUGAAGCAACACAUCAAAUCUCACAUCCAGGUUCGGUCACAUCGCUGCUACUGAAGGUGCAGAAAGUUAUAUUUAUUAUUUUAUCCAAUGCAACGCACGGGCAUUUGUACCAGUAAUAGUCUAAUGGUUGCAUAUAUAAAAAGAAAGAAUUUAAACAAAAAAGCGAGGUGCUAAUGUCUAGCACAUGCCAACCCGAGGGAUGCAAUUGCGCUAUUUUUUUACGACUGUGCCCUCAUAGGGGAUCUUUUCACUGCAUUUUUUUGAUCCGUGUGCACUUAUCGGUGCUGGGUCACGGAUGGGCUCGGAGGCCAUCUUUUCGUCCGUGCGCACCUUUCGGCGCUGGGUCACGGGUUGGGCUCAGCGGCCUCUUUCAUUUAUGCGCUUAGGCAUCUUCCGCAGCUGACAACCGUGCACCAUCCCCGUGUUGGCCAUGCAGUGGGCAGAAUAGGGCCUAAUAUACCGGGCACGUCCUGAUUGAGCUUCCGGUACGGUACUAAUGUGUGCAGCGAUUCGCGCUGUCGAUUUCGCGUCCCGCACGCUGGCAACCCUGAAAAACUCGGUUCGGGCCCAAGUGAAACUGGGCCAGUUCUCGUGUCUUUCUCCUCCCCACCUCGAGCGACUCCUCCCCGUCGCCGACGGCCUAUUCCGGGGCAACCUCUACGCCUCACCUCGUCUCGUCUUCCUCCCAGAUCCAGCACGCAACGGUCGCCAUGGGCCUCGACGGCGCGCCGGUCUGCUCCAUCCCCAGUCAAAACCUCGAGUGGCCGUGCGUGAGGAGAGACUGCGGCCAGAACGACUGGAUUCACGCCGUCGUCAACAGCACCUGACGCCAUCAAGUUCCGCUGCUCCUUCGUCAUGAACAAGCAGCGGCCGACGCCACCAAGGACUGCUGCUGCAGGCACCGCCACUCCCAGCAUAUCAUCUCGAAGGCCUCUGUGUCCCCCUCCCAUGUCUUCCAUCUACAUCUCUGUGCCUUCUCCGUUUUUAUUAUCUUGUUUCCUUCGCUGAUGUUCCGCUGCAAGCACGACAAGGCUGGCCUACAUCUUGGAAAAAAACUGCUCUAGGUAAUCAGAUCAUGACGCCCUGCCUCAUACUCCAUCUUAAAUAAUUAAAUUCCUCUGUUUCGUCAUGUUACCAUACCACUGCUGUCAUCAGGUUUUACGACGUACUACUAUGUUAUCUCAUGCACAUUGAUUGGGUCUGAAAGGCAGUUUAGUUAGGCAACACUUGGUAAUCAUGCAAGUAAUUUUCAACUGUGUUGAUCUGUUUCUCUCUCUCGAAUUGAGGAGCCCAGCUACCAAUUUCAUUUUCAUGGAAAUGAGACUCAUAAUACAGGAUAUCUGUCACAGCUGACCAAUCAAAAAAAGACAGGUUCUGCAAAC
rnacentral:lncRNA from 1 species